rnacentral:rRNA from 1 species
GACGAACGCUGGCGGCGUGCCUAAUACAUGCAAGUAGAACGCACAGUUUAUACCGUAGCUUGCUACACCGUAAACUGUGAGUUGCGAACGGGUGAGUAACGCGUAGGUAACCUGCCUGGUAGCGGGGGAUAACUAUUGGAAACGAUAGCUAAUACCGCAUAAUAUUGAUUAUUGCAUGAUAAUUGAUUGAAAGAUGCUAUUGCAUCACUACCAGAUGGACCUGCGUUGUAUUAGCUAGUAGGUGAGGUAACGGCCCACCUAGGCGACGAUACAUAGCCGACCUGAGAGGGUGAUCGGCCACACUGGGACUGAGACACGGCCCAGACUCCUACGGGAGGCAGCAGUAGGGAAUCUUCGGCAAUGGACGAAAGUCUGACCGAGCAACGCCGCGUGAGUGAAGAAGGUUUUCGGAUCGUAAAGCUCUGUUGUAAGAGAAGAACGGGUGUGAGAGUGGAAAGUUCACACUGUGACGGUAUCUUACCAGAAAGGGACGGCUAACUACGUG